UAGAUUCUGGUUUGUAUGUACCUACCUAAUUAGGUGUUAUAAACUAUAUUAAUUAUGUAACCUAUUUGAUACAAAGUACACAAUUCGAUUUAAUCAAUAAUUAAUAGUAACAGCAAUAUAUACAGCUAAAGUUAUUGUUUGUUUUCUUGGAUUAAAUUUUCUUCUGAAAAGUAUAAUGUUCUGUUUUUUGUUUAUUAUUUG